rnacentral:rRNA from 1 species
UCUGCAACUCGACUCCAUGAAGCUGGAUUCGCUAGUAAUCGCGCAUCAGCCAUGGCGCGGUGAAUACGUUCCCGGGCCUUGUACACACCGCCCGUCAAGCCAUGGGAGUCGGGAGUGCCUGAAGUUCGUGACCGUCACAGGAGCGACCUAAGGCAAGACCGAUGACUGGGGCUAAGUCGUAACAAGGUAAC